rnacentral:lncRNA from 1 species
AGAUGCCUAUUGGUCUAAGCUUUAUAUCUAUGCUAUCGCUCUCUUGCUUAAAUUCACUUCCUUCCUUAACUCAGAUCUAAAUGGCUUCCUUUGGAUUGACAUUAACUUAGGUGUAGAAAGAGGUUAAAGCAUGGGCAUGGAAAAGGGAUUAUAUGGCGUGCUGGGCUGGAUGAAAGAAGCAACUACGCCUACAAUGAGAAUAGAAGGACUCCCACUAGCUGACAGAGAACUCCCAGCCAAAAUGAAACUGGACUUCCAGCAAUAGCAGCAAUGUCACUAGAACCUUUCAUACUGGAGAAUAACUAGAAGUUUAUGAGGAAUACAAACCUUAAGGUUUGGCAGUCAGACUUUUCUGCGUAAUUUGAAUUAUUCAUUUCAUUGCUCGAAGUUGGCUCGUAUUUCAGGUUUUCCUAGCGUAUGUAAUGUCUGGCCGCCCCUUCCUUGUUCAAGAAUUCCCGGC